AGAGCGAAACGCUGGCGGCAGGCCUAAAACAUGCAAGUCGAACGGACCCUUCGGGGUUAGUGGCGGACGGGUGAGUAACACGUGGGAACGUGCCUUUUGGUUCAGAACAACUCAGGGAAACUUGAGCUAAUACUGAAUAAGCCCUACGGGGGAAAGAUUUAUCGCCAUUAGAGCGGCCCGCGUUGGAUUAGCUAGUUGGUGAGGUAAAGGCUCACCAAGGCUACGAUCCAUAGCUGGUCUGAGAGGAUGAUCAGCCACACUGGGACUGAGACACGGCCCAGACUCCUACGGGAGGCAGCAGUUAGGAAUCUUGCGCAAUGGGCGAAAGCCUGACGCAGCCAUGCCGCGUGAAUGAUGAAGGUCUUAGGAUUGUAAAAUUCUUUCAGCGGGGAAGAUAAUGACUGUACCCGCAGAAGAAGCUCCGGCUAACUUCGUGCCAGCAGCCGC
rnacentral:rRNA from 1 species